rnacentral:rRNA from 1 species
GAUGAACGCUGACAGAAUGCUUAACACAUCAGCAAUUGAUUGGUGGCGGACGGGUGAGUAACGCGUAAAGAACUUACCUCACAGUUAGGGACAACAUUUGGAAACGAAUGCUAAUACCUAAUACUGUGAGAGAGCUUUGCGUCCCAUGAGCUAGUUGGCGGGGUAACGGCUCACCAAGGCGAGGAUGGGUAGCCGGCCUGAGAGGGUGAUCGGCCAAAAGGGGACCGAGAAACGGCCCUUACGGCUACGGGAGGCAGCAGUGCGGAAUAUUGGACAAUAGACCAAAGUCUGAAGCAGGAAUUCGGUGUGCACGAUGAAGUUUUCGGAAGGUAAAGGGCGUGCAGUUGGAAAGCGGUACCAACAGAAGAAGUGACGGCUAAAUACGUGCCAGCCGCCGCGGUAAUAC